rnacentral:snoRNA from 1 species
AGGUCUACCUGACCAGUUCUAUAGGACAAUGCAAUCAAGUGGUGAGCUUAUACAUAAGUCUAGUUUAGGAAAAAGAGUCGUUCUCUAUAGGGAUGAUUCUGUGCUGAAAGCUUAGGAAAACCC